GGAUAGCUCAGUUGGUUAGAGUGUGGCACUGAUAAUGGCAAGGCUGCAAGUUCGAUUCUCAUAUGGGACA